rnacentral:tRNA from 1 species
UCCCUGGUGGCUCAGCGGUAAAGAAUCUGCCUGCCAAUGCAGGAGACACAGGUUCGAGUCCUGGUCUGGAGGA